AUUACCCAUAACAUUUAAACCCCAAUUUUAAAUUUCUAUUUUACACCUUCUCACUUUUAUGAAACAAAACCCUAGAAGAUGAAUCCUAAAUUCCCAACAAAAAGAGAAGGAGCGCAAAGGAGGAUCGGAGGUUGCAUUUUCCGGCGAAGUGAAGGGAACUCUCCGGCGAAGGUGGAGAGGAGGCUGCAUUUACCUUGGUUGUGCUUAGGAUGUUCUCUGUUGGUGAAUUUUCCUAGGGUUUGAUCGGAUCGUCUGUGGGAACGGCUCUGUGGUGCCAUUGGAGGUCCUCCCGCUGCAACUCUCCCAUCCAAACGAUCCUUGCAUCCCUCUCUGUUUUGCUCCCAUUUGGCUGCGACUUACUCGCUGCAAUUCGGUUUUGUGCAAAUUUUUACCUCUUCAAUCAUGAACUGUCACCUCCGUAGAGAUCUUGAGAAGGAAAAUUAGGAACAGAGCCCGAUUUUUGAAUCAGGGAAGACAGAAGAAGAUCAUAUUGCAGUGGACCGUGUCUUUGUUGCUCGAGAAACCUUCAGUUUAACAUACCUCAACAAGCAUAUGUGUAGCUUUAGGAAUUAGUUUUCCUUUCUUUGUUUUCGUUUCUGGCAACAUUUAAGGCUUCAAGCUGGUACAACAUUGUUGAUAUGGUAAAUUUGAUCGUUAUGUGGA